AACGAACGCUGGCGGCAUGCCUAAUACAUGCAAGUCGAACGAGAUCUUCGGAUCUAGUGGCGCACGGGUGCGUAACGCGUGGGAAUCUGCCCUUGGGUUCGGAAUAACGUCGGGAAACUGACGCUAAUACCGGAUGAUGACGUAAGUCCAAAGAUUUAUCGCCCAAGGAUGAGCCCGCGUAGGAUUAGCUAGUUGGUGAGGUAAAGGCUCACCAAGGCGACGAUCCUUAGCUGGUCUGAGAGGAUAAUCAGCCACACUGGGACUGAGACACGGCCCAGACUCCUACGGGAGGCAGCAGUAGGGAAUAUUGGACAAUGGGCGCAAGCCUGAUCCAGCAAUGCCGCGUGAGUGAUGAGGGCCUUAGGGUUGUAAAGCUCUUUUACCCGGGAUGAUAAUGACAGUACCGGGAGAAUAAGCCCCGGCUAACUCCGUGCCAGCCGCCGCCGUAA
rnacentral:rRNA from 1 species